GCUGUUGCAUGGAAAGGCCCAUGAGCUGCAGAUGGAGGUCCAUUUUGCCAAGUUAAAACCCGGUGAACCGAAUCGAAGGUGAACCGGGUUGAGAGGAGGGUUAGAGGCUACUUUUGGAAUGUUAUAUAUAUUGACAUAUCCUGCUGCCUCUUACUCCAACCCUCAACAUUCGACUCCGCCUUUCAUCGGCCUGAUUUUGAGUGAUCAAAUAGGGCACCGCCUCCUCCCAGGGAACUAUUCAGGUAUUUUUUGCUGUGGUUUGUUGCCAGAGUAUUUUGAGAUUGAUGAAAGGAAUGAGUUGAUUUGAGGAGCUAUUUGGAGAUGGAGAUGACAAAUAAGAUUGAAAGAUUUUUUCAUUUUGAAAUUUUAAUGCAUCAGCUUGGUUAGCUAUCUAUUGAGCAAAUGUGUUAACUCAUUUGCAGGUUUUGGAUGGUGCACCGAUCCGCCACAUCAUGCAUAUAUAUAUAUAUAUAUAUAUAUAUAUAUAUACAGAAAUCAGUGAGAAUACAUCAGGCAAAUAGAUCGAGAGAAAAAGAGAAAGGGCAGCUCCUUAAGGCGGCGAAGGGGAGAGAUUGGAUCCUAGAUGAUUAUCCAUAACUCAACCCUAUUGAUUCACCAUGUCAUUUACAAUGUUGUGGGAAUCAACCUCCUAGAACAACAGAAUCUCAUGUGUUCACUUUGCCACUUUCAUCAACAAUGUGGGAAUCAACCAAGGACAACAAUAAAAUCUCAUGCCCACUUACCUUAGCGCCAUCCUUGCCCUUCUUACUUUCAUUGUUCCACUACUCAUCAACCUCACUGAUUUGAAGUUUUGGAAAGAGGCUGACUCUGUAUUUCAAGUCCACCCCAUAAACACCAAGGUGGUUGUUCUUAGCUUACUAGCAUUUCUCUUGGCAUUCGGAAUUGAGUUAACCUUCCAUACUUGUCAUCUCUCUCCUACUUGUGCUGCUCUCCUCCAUUCUACCAUGGUGUUUUCCGGUUCCUUCUCAUUGGCUUCAUUGGCAUCGCUCUUGUUUCCUAGUGCACUAUGGCCCCUUCUAUUUGUUCACUGGUGCAUUAUUAGCAAUGUGCAAAACCUAGUCCAGUAAUGGUAUCACCGGGUUCACCGUAGAAUCAUGUACAACCUUGAGACUGUAUUAACAGGAUUUGGGCUAUUCCACACUUGUGGCCUUGAUUCUAAUGGAGAAAGCAACUCAAUCAGGAAAAGGUGAAAGCCAAGUACAUUUUCUUUACGACCAAUAGAACCUGUUUGGUCAUUAAUUCUGGAGGGGGGAGCCAGUAAUGUGACAUGUCGCCAGCCCAAAAAGGCACCAACUCAGCUUGAGCAGCAUGAGGAACUGGGCUCCUAUCCAGUCUGUUCGGGCCAUCCUAUGCAAGGUGCCAACAGAGAGCAUGGCAUAGGUGACAUACAGAAGGGGUCCCCAUGCAUCUGAUGCAAGAAAGCCAGUGAGAGAGGGAAUUUGAAAACACCAUGGGAGUGCAGAGGAGAGCAGCAGAAGAAGAAUGGAAAGUGAAGUCAAUUCCCAAUGCCAAGACAAAUGCUAGUAAGCUAGCAACAGCCGCCUUGGUGGUUAUGGAGUGGGCUUGAAAUGCAGAGUUUGGCUUAUUCUGGAACACUCCAAAUCAAUGAGGUAGUAAAGCAGGUUAUGAAUAAAAGAUUAGAAGGGCGAGAAUGUGGUUAUGUGAAGUAGAAAUGUGACUGUGUUGUUGUUGGAGGUUGAUUCCAAAGAGUUGAAAGUAGCAUAAAGAAUAUGCAUGUUGUGUUAUGGAUAGAAGAUUUAAAUCAGUUGUAAUAAGAAGGGACAAAACCAAUGGACAGUGAGGCCACUGAAUUUCAUGGAGUGUUAAUGUCUACUCAUGACACCCUUAUUUGUGCUGCCAA